UACGAAGGGGGCUAGCGUUGUUCGGAAUCACUGGGCGUAAAGCGCACGUAGGCGGAUCUUUAAGUCAGAGGUGAAAUCCCAAGGCUCAACCUUGGAACUGCCUUUGAUACUGGGGAUCUUGAGUCCGGGAGAGGUGAGUGGAACUGCGAGUGUAGAGGUGAAAUUCGUAGAUAUUCGCAAGAACACCAGUGGCGAAGGCGGCUUACUGGUCCGGUUCUGACGCUGAGGCGCGAAAGCGUGGGGAGCAAACAGG
rnacentral:rRNA from 1 species